rnacentral:rRNA from 1 species
UACGUAGGCAGCAAGCGUUGUUCGGAGUUACUGGGCGUAAAGAGUGUGUAGGCGGUUAGCUAAGUUCGGUGUGAAAUCUCCCGGCUCAACUGGGAGGGUGCGCCGAAGACUGGCAGGCUUGAGUGCGGGAGAGGAAAGCGGAAUUCCUGGUGUAGCGGUGAAAUGCGUAGAUAUCAGGAGGAACACCUGCGGUGUAGACGGCUUUCUGGACCGUAACUGACGCUGAGACACGAAAGCGUGGGUAGCAAACAGGAUUAGAUACCCCCGUAGUCC